CUGCCUCAGCCUCCCAAGUAACUGGGAUUACAGGUCCUGAACUACUUCAGUGAAGAAAAUGAACAGUGUCCACUACUCAAUAGAGGUCUCAUUCUAGAAGGAGAAAUAGAACAAAAAAUAAAAAGAGGAAAUUAUAUAUGAAAUCUCCAGAGUGGAGAAAGUUAGACAUUUUAGUCAAGGUCAUGAGGAAACACCUCAGUGAGAAGGGAUGGAAUGUGGCUGUCCAGGCAAGGAGCUUCUUAGGCAAUAGAAAAUCAGUCCUCUCCUGAACUGCAUCUGACUGAUAAUCUCAUAUAUUGACUUAAAAAUGUGCAGUAUAUAGAUUAAGAAAUGUAAGAGUUUAUAGUCUUCGAAUCAGUGUACCUAGAAUUUCCUUGCUCCACCACUCAUGUUGGGAAAAUUAGUAAGUUCUCUAUGCUUUCCUUUCCUCUUUUGUAGAAGAUGAGUAAUGGUAAAAAUUACCUCACAAGAUGCAUGAGCAUUAAACAUGAGAUAAUACAUGCAAAGUGCCUGGUAGAGAAGUGAGCAAGCACUUAAUUUCACCAUUGAAUCAAAUUCUAAUUUGUGAAUUUCAUUCAGUUGCUUCUAUGCCACCUUUGAAAAAGCCUGAAAACCAGUCAGUUUUGGUAACCUAAUAUGCCCCAAUUUCUUUACGGGUAGAAGGGAUCCAAGAUAGAUCAUAGGCAAAAUUGUGGGCUAUGACACAAUUUUCUUUUGCAAUUUUCUCUCUUUUUUUUUGGUUCUAUGAACUUCCAUCCUGCCAGGUGUCUGCUGAAAGUCAUUUCUCCAAAAAUAAUUUUUGUUGUUUGCCAACAUUGGGCAAAACAUUGUACCAGAGUUUUAAAAAGAGAAUAAAAUAUGUCCUCUUUUCUCAAGAAAUUGACAACGUAAUAGGAAAGAAAGGAUAUUGGUUAAGUUUAUGAAACAUAAAUAGGAAUAAAUAAAUUAUAGUGGAAGACAGUAGAGAAGAUAUCACCAUAUAAGCAUGAUUGAUAUUCAAAGUCCCUUUUCAUUUGAUCCUUCUGUUAAUUUAGAUCAAAAGGAAUUUGUCUAUACUACGUAAUCUGAGUUUCCACAAAAAUGCCUAUUAUGACAUUUUUUAAUUAAAGUGAUCUCGUAGACACUUCUUUGGAGUCCCUAAAACUCAUGGAGCAUUGACUGGAAACCAGUAUGGAGAGGAAGCAUGGUGUUUCCUCUUAUAAGCACUGUCUUACUCAAUUCUAGAAUGAAUGCUUUGCGACCCAUUAGGAGACAAAGCUAGAUCCCCUCAAGACUAGUGCAUGUUUAUUAAAUAAAAGACAGUGCCUAGACAUAGUUGGGUGCUCAAAAAGUGUAUAUUUAAUUAAACACCAGACAAACCUUCUGAUAGUUAAUUUUAUGUGUCAACUUAAAUGGGUCACAGGAUGCCCAGAUGGGUGGUUAAAUAUUUCUGUGUAUAGACGUGAGGGUGGUUCCAGAAGACCCUAGCAUUGGACUUGAUGGAUGAGUAAAGCAGAUGCUUCUCCACAAAGUGGAUGGUCAUCAUCCAAUCUGUUGAGGGCCUGAAGAGAGCAAGAAGGCACAGGAAGGUUGCAUUAACUCUGCCUGAUUUAUUCAGAGCAUCAACCUUCUCCUGCCUUCAGCAUUUCUGGUUCCUGGGCCUUCAGACCCAGACAGAAGUCUAUAUAGUACUGAUGGGCUGGCUCUCAGAGAUUUGAACUAUACCACUGGCUUUCCAGGGUCUCCAGCUUACAGACUGUGGGACUCUCUGCCUCUAUUAUCCCCAGAGUCAGUACUUUAUAAUUAAAACACACACACACACACACAGACACACAGACACACACACACACACACACACACACAAUCUCCCGUUGGCUCUUUCUCUGGAGAUCUCUGAUGAAUACAAACUCCCUUUGUUGUAAUUCCCUGUACUAGCACAAAAGAGAAAGAAAAUAGAAAUACAAUAACUUGAUCAGUAAGGCACUUAAUAAAAUGUGAAAUUUUUCUAAUUGACUCUGGAGAAAUAAAGGCUGGAGAGAAGUUGAGAUAGGGGAAUUUGUCGUUGGUGAAAAAAUGUAGCUGAAGAUUUUCAGUUAACAAGUUGGCAAUCAACUUUAAGAAAGCCUCUAGUGAGCUCACAGCAUUCUGCCCUUUGUCAUUUUCUUUUAGUGGUUUAUGACCCUCUUACAAAUAAAGGAGACACUUAGGAAAUGUGUGGCUGAUUUCAAACUUGAGAUAGGACAAUAAUUCAUGGCGUAGCAGAAUAAAUAUCCAAAACAUUCUCAACAGGCUGGACUACAAGUCAGCAUUUGUCACAUGAAAUUGAAUAAGAAUAGAUUUAAAAUUAUUCAUUGCAGUUCUCACUUUGAACUCUAUAAAUAUGGAACUGAAGGAAGACAGUGUCUGUCUUAAAGUAAUUAGUGUAAAAAGAACCUAAGGGUUUUGACUGACAGUAAGAUUAAUAUGAAAAGACUGUGAUGUGGCUGGCAGAAAUGUUAAUGGUUUCUUAGAUUAUAUAAAUAGAAACUUAGAGUCUAGGUAAUGUGUGGCACAUCAGAAUCUCUUUGGAUACUUUCUAAAAUGCAGGUUCGUAGGUCCCAUCCCACAUCUACUGAAUUAUCCAAGGUCUGGGUGUUGUGCCCUGGAAUCUGUCUUUAACAGUCUCCUGAGGUUACUUUGAUGCUGAGAUCCACCUCAGCGGAUUAGUGUGGAUAAUAAUGGAAUAAGAAAAAUAAAAACACAAUGUCCUCACAGAGUAUAAAUGCUCAAUAAACCAUAAUUUUAAGUAUUCUUUAGGGCCAUUUUUAUUAGUUAUAUUGACACUUUUGUAAAAUUCUUUAUCCGGAUCUAACUUUCUGUUAAUCUUACAAGGGUGGCCUUUCCUGCCUGCCUUCCAGUCUUGUAACUUUCCUAAAUGUGUCCUUUCUGCUUUCAACAUAUGCUAAUUAGGACCUAUUCUGUGUAAGAUAUUAUCCUUGGCCAUGCAGAGAUUUUUUAGAUGCCCUCAGUCAAUAUAUCCACCAAGUAUGGGAGUUUUGACCUGUAUAUAAUUAACUAUAAGAGAACUGAAGUGCCCUAGGGCCUGAGCAAACUUUCUGGAAUUGCCUGUACCCUAGCAGUGCUGUGAAAAUACACGAUGCAGUAAGAUGCAGCACAGAAAUAAGCAUUCAUCUUCUGCUUUCUCUUAACAGAGGGCACUUUCUUCAACUAGGAGACCUUUGCCAGAGCAUGUGAAGACCUUCUUGGCAAACACCAGCCAUGCUCACUUCUCACCAUCCCCCAGUGCCACCUACUCUCUGCUCAACACUCUCCAUGCCCCUCCCAGAGCCAUUGAUCCCGUUCCACCAGAAGAUCACAUCUUAGAAAUGCCCCAGACAUCGUUGGACAUUUCUUCAUGCUUCAUGAGCUUCAAAAUCUUUUAAAAAUUUAAUGCGCUUAUGAAUCUCUAACAAGCUCCUAAAUAACUUGUAUGCUAUUGUUAAAAAACUCCAAAUAUUAAUAAGUAUUAGUAAAAUGUUGCUGUUAAUAGUAAAUCAGCUAAGCGUCAAAAUGCUACCUGGAAAAGCAAGCAGAAUAGACAUUCCAAUGUUAAAGGGCAUCAAGAGCAAGACUCUUAAAGAGCCUAUGAAAUCAUUUAAGUGUGAGAUAAAAAGGUUGGGAAUUUCAUACAUAUUUAGCAUUGCCUGAGAAAUGUCUCUAAGUUUUUCUUUUUUCACUCUAGAAUAUUACCAAAGUUGCAGUUAAUUACAUUUCUGCUGCUACAAAAACAUUUUUUCAUGCCUCAGUGAUUCAUGAAUCUUCCAUUGUGUGUAUUAGGCAGCAGCUCUUGUAGACAAUGACAGAGAAUAAAAUGCUUCCAGAGGAAACACGAUUCAGGUGUCUGUUUUUGGG
rnacentral:lncRNA from 1 species